UCAGUGUGUGUGUUAGUGGAAGCGUCUGGAAAGGCGCGCGAUACAGGGUGACAGCCCCGUACACAAAAAUGCACAUGCUGUGAGCUCGAUGAGUAGGGCGGGACACGUGGUAUCCUGUCUGAAUAUGGGGGGACCAUCCUCCAAGGCUAAAUACUCCUGACUGACCGAUAGUGAACCAGUACCGUGAGGGAAAGGCGAAAAGAACCCCGGCGAGGGGAGUGAAAAAGAACCUGAAACCGUGUACGUACAAGCAGUGGGAGCACGCUUAGGCGUGUGACUGCGUACCUUUUGUAUAAUGGGUCAGCGACUUAUAUUCUGUAGCAAGGUUAACCGAAUAGGGGAGCCGAAGGGAAACCGAGUCUUAACUGGGCGUUAAGUUGCAGGGUAUAGACCCGAAACCCGGUGAUCUAGCCAUGGGCAGGUUGAAGGUUGGGUAACACUAACUGGAGGACCGAACCGACUAAUGUUGAAAAAUUAGCGGAUGACUUGUGGCUGGGGGUGAAAGGCCAAUCAAACCGGGAGAUAGCUGGUUCUCCCCGAAAGCUAUUUAGGUAGCGCCUCGUGAAUUCAUCUCCGGGGGUAGAGCACUGUUUCGGCAAGGGGGUCAUCCCGACUUACCAACCCGAUGCAAACUGCGAAUACCGGAGAAUGUUAUCACGGGAGACACACGGCGGGUGCUAACGUCCGUCGUGAAGAGGGAAACAACCCAGACCGCCAGCUAAGGUCCCAAAGUCAUGGUUAAGUGGGAAACGAUGUGGGAAGGCCCAGACAGCCAGGAUGUUGGCUUAGAAGCAGCCAUCAUUUAAAGAAAGCGUAAUAGCUCACUGGUCGAGUCGGCCUGCGCGGAAGAUGUAACGGGGCUAAACCAUGCACCGAAGCUGCGGCAGCGACGCUUAUGCGUUGUUGGGUAGGGGAGCGUUCUGUAAGCCUGCGAAGGUGUGCUGUGAGGCAUGCUGGAGGUAUCAGAAGUGCGAAUGCUGACAUAAGUAACGAUAAAGCGGGUGAAAAGCCCGCUCGCCGGAAGACCAAGGGUUCCUGUCCAACGUUAAUCGGGGCAGGGUGAGUCGACCCCUAAGGCGAGGCCGAAAGGCGUAGUCGAUGGGAAACAGGUUAAUAUUCCUGUACUUGGUGUUACUGCGAAGGGGGGACGGAGAAGGCUAUGUUGGCCGGGCGACGGUUGUCCCGGUUUAAGCGUGUAGGCUGGUUUUCCAGGCAAAUCCGGAAAAUCAAGGCUGAGGCGUGAUGACGAGGUACUACGGUGCUGAAGCAACAAAUGCCCUGCUUCCAGGAAAAGCCUCUAAGCAUCAGGUAACAUCAAAUCGUACCCCAAACCGACACAGGUGGUCAGGUAGAGAAUACCAAGGCGCUUGAGAGAACUCGGGUGAAGGAACUAGGCAAAAUGGUGCCGUAACUUCGGGAGAAGGCACGCUGAUAUGUAGGUGAAGUCCCUUGCGGAUGGAGCUGAAAUCAGUCGAAGAUACCAGCUGGCUGCAACUGUUUAUUAAAAACACAGCACUGUGCAAACACGAAAGUGGACGUAUACGGUGUGACGCCUGCCCGGUGCCGGAAGGUUAAUUGAUGGGGUUAGCGGUAACGCGAAGCUCUUGAUCGAAGCCCCGG
rnacentral:rRNA from 1 species